AUGGAUGUGUUGGAAUAUAACUUGUUCUAAGAUCUUGAAACGUGCUGAUAGUGAACUUCUUGCUAAUAGCGUUAAUAAAUUAAAGCAGUACUCGAGAGCAUAACAUUGUUAUCCAUCUACUUGCAGAGAUUAUCACUGAGAUGCGCCAGGCCUUCUUUACCCAACUGGAUACAGCACAAGAUGUGUCGCAGACCUUGAAAAGGCUGACAGCAGCAACACAAGAAAGUAACAAGAUGGUCAAAGAUCUGUCCCAAGCCUUCACUACCCACCUAGAGGAAUACAAACAAG